UACGUAGGGCGCAAGCGUUGUCCGGAAUUAUUGGGCGUAAAGAGCUCGUAGGCGGUCUGUUACGUCCGCUGUGAAAACCCAGGGCUUAACCCUGGGCUUGCAGUGGGUACGGGCAGACUAGAGUGCGGUAGGGGAGAUUGGAAUUCCUGGUGUAGCGGUGGAAUGCGCAGAUAUCAGGAGGAACACCGAUGGCGAAGGCAGAUCUCUGGGCCGUUACUGACGCUGAGGAGCGAAAGCGUGGGGAGCGAACAGG
rnacentral:rRNA from 1 species